rnacentral:rRNA from 1 species
GAUGAACGCUGGCGGCGUGCCUAAUACAUGCAAGUCGAGCGAACAGACGAGGAGCUUGCUCCUCUGACGUUAGCGGCGGACGGGUGAGUAACAUGUGGAUAACAUACCUAUAAGACUGGGAUAACUUCGGGAAACCGGAGCUAAUACCGGAUAAUAUAUUGAACCGCAUGGUUCAAUAGUGAAAGACGGUUUUGCUGUCACUUAUAGAUGGAUCCGCGCCGCAUUAGCUAGUUGGUAAGGUAACGGCUUACCAAGGCAACGAUGCGUAGCCGACCUGAGAGGGUGAUCGGCCACACUGGAACUGAGACACGGUCCAGACUCCUACGGGAGGCAGCAGUAGGGAAUCUUCCGCAAUGGGCGAAAGCCUGACGGAGCAACGCCGCGUGAGUGAUGAAGGUCUUCGGAUCGUAAAACUCUGUUAUUAGGGAAGAACAAAUGUGUAAGUAACUAUGCACGUCUUGACGGUACCUAAUCAGAAAGCCACGGCUAACUACGUG